rnacentral:rRNA from 1 species
AUCCUUCGGGAUGAGUUAGCGGGGGACGGGUGAGUAACACGUAGGUAACCUGCCUAUAAGACUGGGAUAACUAUCGGAAACGAUAGCUAAGACCGGAUAACUGGUUUUCUCGCAUGAGAGAAUUAUGAAACACGGAGCAAUCUGGGGCUUAUAGAUGGGCCUGCGGCGCAUUAGCUAGUUGGUGAGGUAACGGCUCACCAAGGCGACGAUGCGUAGCCGACCUGAGAGGGUGAACGGCCACACUGGGACUGAGACACGGCCCAGACUCCUACGGGAGGCAGCAGUAGGGAAUCUUCCGCAAUGGACGCAAGUCUGACGGAGCAACGCCGCGUGAGUGAUGAAGGUUUUCGGAUCGUAAAGCUCUGUUGCCCUAGACGAACAGCAAGGAGAGUAACUGCUCUUUGUGUGACGGUAUAGGAGAAGAAAGCCCCGGCUAACUACGUGCCAGCAGCCGCGGUAAUACGUAGGGGGCAAGCGUUGUCCGGAAUUAUUGGGCGUAAAGCGCGCGCAGGCGGUCAAUUAAGUUGGGUGUUUAAGCCCGGGGCUCAACCCCGGUUCGCAUCCAAAACUGGUUGACUUGAGUGUAGGAGAGGAAAGCGGAAUUCCACGUGUAGCGGUGAAAUGCGUAGAGAUGUGGAGGAACACCAGUGGCGAAGGCGACUUUCUGGUCUAUAACUGACGCUGA